GACGAACGCUGGCGGCGUGCUUAACACAUGCAAGUCGAGCGGUAAGGCCCUUUCGGGGGUACACGAGCGGCGAACGGGUGAGUAACACGUGGGUGACCUGCCCUCAGCUCUGGGAUAAGCCCGGGAAACUGGGUCUAAUACUGGAUAUGACUCCACGGUGCAUGCCGUGGGGUGGAAAGCCUUGUGCGGCUGAGGAUGGGCCCGCGGCCUAUCAGCUUGUUGGUGGGGUGAUGGCCUACCAAGGCGACGACGGGUAGCCGGCCUGAGAGGGCGACCGGCCACACUGGGACUGAGACACGGCCCAGACUCCUACGGGAGGCAGCAGUGGGGAAUAUUGCGCAAUGGGCGGAAGCCUGACGCAGCGACGCCGCGUGGGGA
rnacentral:rRNA from 1 species